AGUGAACGCUGGCGGUAGGCCUAACACAUGCAAGUCGAACGGCAGCACAGUAAGAGCUUGCUCUUACGGGUGGCGAGUGGCGGACGGGUGAGGAAUACAUCGGAAUCUACUUUUUCGUGGGGGAUAACGUAGGGAAACUUACGCUAAUACCGCAUACGACCUACGGGUGAAAGCAGGGGAUCUUCGGACCUUGCGCGAUUGAAUGAGCCGAUGUCGGAUUAGCUAGUUGGCGGGGUAAAGGCCCACCAAGGCGACGAUCCGUAGCUGGUCUGAGAGGAUGUUCACGCACACCGGAAAUGAGACACGGUCCCGACUCCUAGGGGAGGCAGCAGAGGGGAAUAUUUGGGACAGGGCGCAAACCUCAUCCCGGCAUACCGCGUGGGUGGAGAAGGCCUUUGGGGUGUGAAACCCUUUUGUUGGGAAAGAAAAGCAGCAGGGUUAUACCCCGAUGUUCUGACGGUACCCAAAGAAUAAGCCCCGGCUAACUUUGUG
rnacentral:rRNA from 1 species